GCUAGAGUCACUAGCACGUCACUGUGGGCGCUCUCUGGGGCUGAUGGGAAGUCAGACUGUGCUUUAACCCCCAAGUCAUGUACUAUAUCCUUAUUAUAUGUGCGGGCUUCACUCCAAUGUCAUAGGGUUCCCAAGGCUGUUGGCAAAAUUACCUUUAUCCACUGACCCAGUACUGAAGCCCCCAAACCUCAAAUUCAGGCACGUCAAGGUUGAAUAUGUCGCAGAGCCAGUGAGUAAUAUUAAUCAUCGUUGUGCAGUAAAAAGAGCAAGGAUAAAACUACCCAGAGAAAAAGUUCUGUCGUCAUGUUGUAUGUUCCCCUAUCGCAAUAAAGCCACAACUCUGUGGUCUAACUUGUGUCACUUGCAACUUGGCGGAAGAAGUUAGAUCCAGUAACUGUCCUUGUCAGUUCCUAUUUUUCAAAUUCUGUAAAACUAAUGGACCUCACAAUAUCUCAAGAAAAGAUCACCGACACCAUCAUUUUAGUGAAUUAUUGCUCUUCCCCAAGCCAAACGUUUUAACACCUUUUUCCUUGAGUUCUUUAGGAAUCAGUCUUGGCAAUACUCGUGGUUUCGUACUUUCGUUACGUGUCUGUUACUCCCAAUGGGUCACAUGAAAAUGUCCUUCAUCCCUCUUUCAAACCUUCUUGAUCGAGAUCUGGCCAAUUUUAGGCCAUCCCAAUCAAGUAGGCCAAUUAGGGGGUUCUAUACAAGGGCAGACAAGUCGCUGAAUUGGUCUAAAGCAGCGGUUCUCAACCUGUGGGUCGGGACCCCUUUGGGGGUCGAACGACCCUUUCACA